CAGUCUGGUGCCAGCAGCCGCGGUAAUUCCAGCUCCAAUAGCGUAUAUUAAAGUUGUUGCAGUUAAAAAGCUCGUAGUUGAAUUUCGGGGUUAGUAGGUUGGUCAUGCCUCUGGUAUGUACUGGUCUCACUGAUUCCUCCUUCCUGAUGAGCCGUAAUGCCAUUAAUUUGGUGUUGCGGGGAAUUUGGACUGUUACUUUGAAAAAAUUAGAGUGUUUAAAGCAAGCUAACGCUUGAAUACAUUAGCAUGGAAUAAUGAAAUAGGACGUUCGAUCCUAUUUUGUUGGUUUCUAGGAUUGACGUAAUGAUUAAUAGGGAUAGUUGGGGGCAUUAGUAUUCAAUUGUCAGAGGUGAAAUUCUUGGAUUUAUUGAAGACUAACUACUGCGAAAGCAUUUGCCAAGGAUGUUUUCAUUAAUCAAGAACGCAAAGUUAGGGGAUCGAGAGACGCAUCAGAUGACCGNUCGUAGUCUUAACCAUAAACUUNUGGCGCGGACUCANGGCUCCGGGCAU
rnacentral:rRNA from 2 species